rnacentral:rRNA from 1 species
UACGGAGGAUCCGAGCGUUAUCCGGAUUAUUGGGUUUAAAGGGUGCGUAGGCGGCCUGUUAAGUCAGGGGUGAAAGACGGUAGCUCAACUAUCGCAGUGCCCUUGAUACUGAUGGGCUUGAAUGUACUAGAGGUAGGCGGAAUGUGACAAGUAGCGGUGAAAUGCAUAGAUAUGUCACAGAACACCAAUUGCGAAGGCAGCUUACUAUGGUAUUAUUGACGCUGAGGCACGAAAGCGUGGGGAUCAAACAGG